GUAUUUAAGUGUGGCAUCAAGUUAUCUUCCUCAAUAAUUAAUCAGCCUUUGGGUUCUUUUUGGCACGAAAGCGCUUCUUGGUAGGAGUAGUGGAUUUCAAGUAGCAUCCACUCAUCGGCCAUGUAUAAAAGGAACUGCCACAUUACAGAAUUGCCCUUGAUGGAACUCAGUACAAUCUCUUACUGUUAGACAGUGAAGGAAUAGAUGCCUAUGAUCAAAUAGUAAGCACAUUUACCUUAUCAAGAUGAACUAAUGAUUGUUGUGCUGGUUUUAUGUUUUAACAGUUAAAGAAUUGAUGAAAUGGCUAGUAAUCAAUUUUAUUAAUUGAAGAAUUU